UGGCUCAGUUGGUAGAGCAUGGCACUUGCAAGGCAAGGGUUGUGGGUUCGAUUCCCAC
rnacentral:tRNA from 1 species